rnacentral:rRNA from 1 species
GUGCCAGCAGCUGCGGUAAUACGGAGGGUGCAAGCGUUAAUCGGAAUUACUGGGCGUAAAGCGCACGCAGGCGGUCUGUCAAGUCGGAUGUGAAAUCCCCGGGCUCAACCCGGGAACUGCAUUCGAAACUGGCAGGCUUGAGUCUCGUAGAGGGGGUAGAAUUCCAGGUGUAGCGGUGAAAUGCGUAGAGAUCUGGAGGAAUACCGGUGGCGAAGGCGGCCCCCUGGACGAAGACUGACGCUCAGGUGCGAAAGCGUGGGGAGCAAACAGGAUUAGAUACCCUGGUAGUCCACGCCGUAAACGAUGUCGAUUUGGAGUUGUGCCCUUGAGGCGUGGCUUCCGGAGCUAACGCGUUAAAUCGACCGCCUGGGGAGUACGGCCGCAAGGUUAAAACUCAAAUGAAUUGACGGGGCCGCACAAGCGGUGGAGCAUGUGGUUUAAUUCGACGCAACGCGAAGAACCUUACCUGGUCUUGACAUCCACAGAACUUAGCAGAGAUGCUUGGUGCCUUCGGGAACUGUGAG